GACGAACGCUGGCGGCGUGCUUAACACAUGCAAGUCGAACGGAAAGGCCCUGCUUGCCGGGUGCUCGAGUGGCGAACGGGUGAGUAACACGUGGGUGAUCUGCCCCUUACUUUGGGAUAAGCCUGGGAAACUGGGUCUAAUACUGGAUAGGACCAUGCUGUAGGUGGUGUGGUGGAAAGAUUAGUUUCGGUAAGGGAUGAGCUCGCGGCCUCUCAGCUUGUUGGUGGGGUAAUGGCCUACCAAGGCGUCGACGGGUAGCCGGCCGGGGAGGGUGGACGGCCACAUUGGGACUGAGAUACGGCCCAGACUCCUACGGGAGGCAGCAGUGGGGAAUAUUGCACAAUGGGCGCAAGCCUGAUGCAGCGACGCCGCGUGGGGGAUGACGGCCUUCGGGUUGUAAACUCCUUUCAGCCAUGACGAAGCCCUUGUGGUGACGGUAGUGGUAGAAGAAGCACCGGCUAACUACGUG
rnacentral:rRNA from 1 species